UGGGGAAUAUUGGACAAUGGGGGGAACCCUGAUCCAGCCAUGCCGCGUGUGUGAAGAAGGCCUUAUGGUUGUAAAGCACUUUAAGCGAGGAGGAGGGUACUGGUAUUACUACUACCAGGUACUGGACGUUACUCGCAGAAUAAGCACCGGCUAACUCUGUGCCAGCAGCCGCGGUAAUACAGAGGGUGCAAGCGUUAAUCGGAUUUACUGGGCGUAAAGCGCGCGUAGGCGGCUAAUUAAGUCAAAUGUGAAAUCCCCGAGCUUAACUUGGGAAUUGCAUUCGAUACUGGUUAGCUAGAGUGUGGGAGAGGAUGGUAGAAUUCCAGGUGUAGCGGUGAAAUGCGUAGAGAUCUGGAGGAAUACCGAUGGCGAAGGCAGCCAUCUGGCCUAACACUGACGCUGAGGUGCGAAAGCAUGGGGAGCAAACAGG
rnacentral:rRNA from 1 species